rnacentral:rRNA from 1 species
GGGAAUCUUGCGCAAUGGGCGAAAGCCUGACGCAGCCAUGCCGCGUGGAUGAUGAAGGUCUUAGGAUUGUAAAAUCCUUUCAGCGGGGACGAUAAUGACGGUACCCGCAGAAGAAGCCCCGGCUAACUUCGUGCCAGCAGCCGCGGUAAUACGAAGGGGGCUAGCGUUGCUCGGAAUUACUGGGCGUAAAGGGCGCGUAGGCGGACAGUUCAGUCGGGGGUGAAAGCCCGGGGCUCAACCUCGGAAUUCCCUUCGAUACUGGCUGCCUUGAGUAUGAGAGAGGUGUGUAGAACUCCGAGUGUAGAGGUGAAACUCGUAGAUAUUCGGAAGAACACCAGUGACGAAGGCGACACACUAGCUCAUUACUGACGCUGAGUCGCGAAAGCUUUUGGAGCAAACA